UACCUGCAGCUCAAGUGGUGAUCAUUAUUAUUGGGCCUAAAACGUCCGUAGCCGGUUUAGUAAAUGCCUGGGUAAAUCGUGUAGCUUAACUAUACGACUUCCGGGUAGACUGCUAAACUUGAGACCGGGAGAAGCUAGAGGUACUCCUGGGGUAGAGGUGAAAUUCUGUAAUCCUAGGGGGACCACCAGUGGCGAAGGCGUCUAGCUAGAACGGGUCUGACGGUGAGGGACGAAGCCCUGGGGCACAAACCGGAUUAGAUACCCGGGUAGUCCAGGGUGUAAACGCUGCUUGCUUGAUGUUAGUUGGGCUCCGAGCCCAACUAGUGUCGGAGAGAAGUUGUUAAGCAAGCUGCCUGGGAAGUACGGUCGCAAGGCUGAAACUUAAAGGAAUUGGCGGGGGAGCACAGCAACGGGUGGAGCGUGCGGUUU
rnacentral:rRNA from 1 species